rnacentral:rRNA from 1 species
GAGUUUGAUCAUGGCUCAGAUUGAACGCUGGCGGCAGGCCUAACACAUGCAAGUCGAGCGGAUGAAGGGAGCUUGCUCCUGGAUUCAGCGGCGGACGGGUGAGUAAUGCCUAGGAAUCUGCCUGGUAGUGGGGGAUAACGUCCGGAAACGGGCGCUAAUACCGCAUACGUCCUGAGGGAGAAAGUGGGGAUCUUCGGACCUCACGCUAUCAGACGAGCCUAGGUCGGAUUAGCUAGUUGGUGGGGUAAAGGCCUACCAAGGCGACGAUCCGUAACUGGUCUGAGAGGAUGAUCAGUCACACUGGAACUGAGACACGGUCCAGACUCCUACGGGAGGCAGCAGUGGGGAAUAUUGGACAAUGGGCGAAAGCCUGAUCCAGCCAUGCCGCGUGUGUGAAGAAGGUCUUCGGAUUGUAAAGCACUUUAAGUUGGGAGGAAGGGCAGUAAGUUAAUACCUUGCUGUUUUGACGUUACCAACAGAAUAAGCACCGGCUAACUUCGUGCCAGCAGCCGCCG